UACGUAGGGUGCAAGCGUUGUCCGGAAUUAUUGGCGUAAAGAGCUCGUAGGCGGUUCGUCGCGUCGGCUGUGAAAUCCCGAGGCUCAACCUCGGGUCUGCAGUCGAUACGGGCGGACUGGAGUUCGGCAGGGGAGACUGGAAUUCCUGGUGUAGCGGUGAAAAUGCGCAGAUAUCAGGAGGAACACCGGUGGCGAAGGCGGGUCUCUGGGGACGGUACUGACGCUGAGACGCGAAAGCGUGGGGAGCGAACAGG
rnacentral:rRNA from 1 species